UGAUAAUACGCAUGCGCUAUUUCCUCCCUUUACCCAUAGGGGACUCUUUGAAUAUCUGUGCUGCUGUUUGAUCACUUGAGUUGACUGGAUGGCUGGCUUACAAUGCAGAGUAAUGCCAAAGGUAUGGAUUCAGUUCCCACACUGGCUGAGAUUACUAUGAAGGACUUUCAUUUUCAACCACUCUCCUCGCCUGAGGCAUGGCAACCCUCAGGUUUAGCCCACCAUCCGGUUGCCCAGGAUUCCUUAAGGCAGCUUCUGCAGUAUCUUCAAGCCCCAUAUUCCAAUGCCCUGAAGUCGUGGGCUACUCCGUUGCAACUUUUCUUCAGCAUUGGAGAAUGAACAGGAGGAGGCCAUUCAGCCCAUUGAGCCUGGCCCAAUACUAUCAAGAUUGACCAAACACUUCAAGACUCAUUCUGUCCAAUCUCCUGAACUGCCACCUGUCUUUGCAAUGAUGAUUAUCUAAAAAUCAAUUUCUCAUCAUGCA